AUGGAUGAACAUUACAAUAGUGGUGUGCAUAAUGAGUUGGACCUCUUCAUGUCAAGCAAACACAACCACCUAUUCCAGGACAACCAUAAUGAUGAGAUGGAUGGCCUUCUUGAAGCCACUACUGUCGUGGGCAACACUAAUGAUGCCAAAGUUGUUGAUGCAGACCAUGACAACAAUGAUGGAGAGACCCACAGUGAGCAAAUAAUCGACACAAGAAGUGCCAAUUAUCACCGUCUGCAUAGUGAACAAAUCCUACAACUUGAAGCUGUGUUCUGGGACUGCCCUUAUCCAGAUGAGAAACUUCGGAAGGACCUUAGCGAGAGGCUUGGCAUGAAUGCCCAGCAGGUCAAGUUUUGGUUCCAAAACAAACGCACCUUCAGUAAGGGCAAGAUGCAGCGUUGGGAGAUCCAAAAUCGUUGGGUAGAAAAUGAGAGGCUGAAAACUGAACGUCAAGCGAUCACGUUGGCUAUGCAAAACAAGACUUGCCUCAAAUGCAGAGGGGUGAUGGUACAAUCUCAGGAUACCUCGGAGCGCGAGUGCCUAUACACCGAGAAUAUGAGGCUCAAGGAAGAACUCCUACAUGCCACUGCCUAUCUUAAAGAAGGUCUUCACCGAAAUGGCAUGUCGCUCCCAUGGGCCCGCAACUGA
rnacentral:rRNA from 1 species